rnacentral:lncRNA from 1 species
CCUGUCUCGCAGGGGUCAGGGUCGGGGCUGGGUUGUACUGGGAAGGGCCAGCUCCCCAAGCUUCACCACUUCCCCUGAGACUUGGCAAGCCUGGGAUGUGAGACAUUGAGUAGAGAGGAACUGAUGGCUGCUGUGCCCGGCAAGAAAGCAGGGACAGCGACUCUCCCAUGUCCUCUCUUCUGCAGGUUCAGGGAGGCCGCCUGGCCAGCAGGGAGGCUGGAGCAGGCAGGCACCACUUCUGGUGACCUCGGCAAGCUCCCGGACCCCUGAGCCUUGGUCUCCUGCUUGCAGAGCGAGGACAGGAAGUGCACCCAUUUUGAAGGAUAUCACGAGGACUAGGUGAAAAAACACUUCCACGGUGCCGGUGCUUGGUCAGCGCUCAAGAAACUUUUUUCAAAAAGUAGGUGUUUUUGCCUCUGUUUGAGGAGUAGACUGAGGCUUAGAGAGGGAAAGCACCUGGUUCAAGAGGCUUCAAAAGAAGCAAAAAGGAGGUAGCGGAAGAGGCCCUUCCAAGGAGGACAAUGGGAAGAUCAGCUCUUGUUGGUCACCAGCCACGUCUCAGCAGACCUGCCAGACGCAGAUUCCAGCAUCUGCAGAGCCCGUCCUGGGCAUGGUUGCUGAGCCAGGUACCUGAAGGGCCCUGUCCAGUGUCACUGGCACCGCUCUGUACAGAAGCUACACGUGGCCCCCGUUCAGCC